UGUUUCGGCUAGGGGGCCAUCCCGGCUUACCAACCCGAUGCAAACUGCGAAUACCGGAGAAUGUUAUCACGGGAGACACACGGCGGGUGCUAACGUCCGUCGUGAAGAGGGAAACAACCCAGACCGCCAGCUAAGGUCCCAAAGUCAUGGUUAAGUGGGAAACGAUGUGGGAAGGCCCAGACAGCCAGGAUGUUGGCUUAGAAGCAGCCAUCAUUUAAAGAAAGCGUAAUAGCUCACUGGUCGAGUCGGCCUGCGCGGAAGAUGUAACGGGGCUAAACCAUGCACCGAAGCUGCGGCAGCGACACUCAGGUGUUGUUGGGUAGGGGAGCGUUCUGUAAGCCUGCGAAGGUGGCCUGUGAGGGUUGCUGGAGGUAUCAGAAGUGCGAAUGCUGACAUAAGUAACGAUAAAGCGGGUGAAAAGCCCGCUCGCCGGAAGACCAAGGGUUCCUGUCCAACGUUAAUCGGGGCAGGGUGAGUCGACCCCUAAGGCGAGGCCGAAAGGCGUAGUCGAUGGGAAACGGGUUAAUAUUCCCGUACUUGGUGUUACUGCGAAGGGGGGACGGAGAAGGCUAUGUUGGCCGGGCGACGGUUGUCCCGGUUUAAGCGUGUAGGUGUGUGUUCCAGGUAAAUCCGGUUCACUUUAACACUGAGGCGUGACGACGAGGCACUACGGUGCUGAAGCAACAAAUGCCCUGCUUCCAGGAAAAGCCUCUAAGCAUCAGGUAACAUCAAAUCGUACCCCAAACCGACACAGGUGGUCAGGUAGAGAAUACCAAGGCGCUUGAGAGAACUCGGGUGAAGGAACUAGGCAAAAUGGUGCCGUAACUUCGGGAGAAGGCACGCUGACACGUAGGUGAAGUGAUUUACUCAUGGAGCUGAAGUCAGUCGAAGAUACCAGCUGGCUGCAACUGUUUAUUAAAAACACAGCACUGUGCAAACACGAAAGUGGACGUAUACGGUGUGACGCCUGCCCGGUGCCGGAAGGUUAAUUGAUGGGGUCAGCGCAAGCGAAGCUCCUGAUCGAAGCCCCGGUAAACGGCGGCCGUAACUAUAACGGUCCUAAGGUAGCGAAAUUCCUUGUCGGGUAAGUUCCGACCUGCACGAAUGGCGUAAUGAUGGCCAGGCUGUCUCCACCCGAGACUCAGUGAAAUUGAACUCGCUGUGAAGAUGCAGUGUACCCGCGGCAAGACGGAAAGACCCCGUGAACCUUUACUAUAGCUUGACACUGAACAUUGAGCCUUGAUGUGUAGGAUAGGUGGGAGGCUUUGAAGUGUGGACGCCAGUCUGCAUGGAGCCG
rnacentral:rRNA from 2 species